CAAACACGCGCACAAACAGAGCAGCCGUCGAUCAGCAAUUAUAAAAGUCACACUGGCUAAAGCAGACAUGACUGAACCUUCCAGAGGUCUCUUUUACCUCCCUAUCAUCUAUCUAUGGACAGGAGGAGUGGACGCCAAUGCUCUGGCAUCUCUGGCGCCUCCGGUCCACCUGUCAGGGGAAAGGCUUGGCUGGACUCUGCUGGUCUGUAUGGUGAGUGACUUCAGAAGAGGACGUCUGGAGGUCAGGUGGAGAUCCGCAUCAGAGGGCCACAUGUCAACCGGACCAUUGAGUGUCGCUGUAACCAGGAGGCAUCGCAGCCACAACGCUGUGGCAGUAAUCACAGUAGCGACCAGUGACUGGCCAUCGUACAGAUGCUCUGUGAGCCACAGACAACGUUCAAAAGUCACGAGAACACACCUCACCACUUCAUCAGCUGAUCAUGACAAGAUUUGCUAUAAGGAUGAAGAUAUGAAAGAUAUUGCUGUGCGGACAAACGCGGUGGUUGUACUGGCCUUGAGGCUUAUUCUCAUGAAGAUCCUUGUCUUUGAUGCUCUGAUGACCAUUUAUGUUGUUAUUAAGUGAUCAUUGGUACUAAAAGGUAUCUGAUGCACCAAGUGACCAUGGAAAGAAAACUAACCCCACAGAGGGGAAUUUUUCUUGUCUGAAGCCUCCACAGAGAAGACUGCUGCAGUCAAAGACGAUGAGUGUGUUCCCGUCUCAUGGUUUAUUUCAUGAAGAUGGGUUUACUGCGAGGUUUUUGGAAAGUUUCAUGAAUCAAAUAGGAAUUGUUUCACUCUCAGGAUCACAGGAGUAAGUUUUGUAAUGCGACAAAUCCUUAGUCGCGCCUUUUUCAGCCUUUCACACCAACUUCACAGGUGUUACUGACUAUGGCAGUUGAAAACAGAGCGAGUUUGUGAGGCCAAACCUGGUAUCUGAUUGAAGCCUAACCUCAGACAGAUGGCUUAAUGCUCCUGCUGUUGUAUACAUGUAUGUGCUUUUGUGAGAAGAUAUGUGUGUCUAGUCGUACCCAUAUUACUGACUUUCUUAAAUUAUCAAAAAGGAAAAUUGUGAGUGCUUGGAAGUUUCCACAUAAUUUCACUUUUGAAAUAGCCUCAUUUUGCUUUUUAUAUUCUUCAAUGUAAAUUCAAUAAACACAAAGUAAGUUUGGAGUGUUUCAACUUUAUUGUUUUUUUAAAUAAAACACUGGCAAACA